GGCUCAGAGCGAACGCUGGCGGCAGGCUUAACACAUGCAAGUCGAGCGGGCGUAGCAAUACGUCAGCGGCAGACGGGUGAGUAACGCGUGGGAACGUACCUUUUGGUUCGGAACAACACAGGGAAACUUGUGCUAAUACCGGAUAAGCCCUUACGGGGGAAGAUUUAUCGCCGAAAGAUCGGCCCGCGUCUGAUUAGCUAGUUGGUGAGGUAACGGCUCACCAAGGCGACGAUCAGUAGCUGGUCUGAGAGGAUGAUCAGCCACAUUGGGACUGAGACACGGCCCAAACUCCUACGGGAGGCAGCAGUGGGGAAUAUUGGACAAUGGGCGCAAGCCUGAUCCAGCCAUGCCGCGUGAGUGAUGAAGGCCCUAGGGUUGUAAAGCUCUUUUGUGCGGGAAGAUAAUGACGGUACCCGCAAGAAUAAGCCCCCGGCUAACUUCGUGCCAGCAGCCCCGGUAAUACGAAGGGGGCUAGCGUUGCUCGGAAUCACUGGGCGUAAAGGGUGCGUAGGCGGGUCUUUAAGUCAGGGGUGAAAUCCUGGAGCUCCAACUCCCAGAACUGCCUUUGAUACCGAAGAUCUUGAGUUCCGGAGAGGUGAGUGGAACUGCG
rnacentral:rRNA from 1 species